rnacentral:rRNA from 1 species
CCUACGGGUGGCAGCAGUGGGGAAUAUUGGGCAAUGGGCGCAAGCCUGACCCAGCAACGCCGCGUGAAGGAAGAAGGCUUUCGGGUUGUAAACUUCUUUUAUCAGGGACGAAGCAAGUGACGGUACCUGACGAAUAAGCCACGGCUAACUACGUGCCAGCAGCCGCGGUAAUACGUAGGUGGCAAGCGUUAUCCGGAUUUACUGGGGGUAAAGGGCGUGUAGGCGGGAGGGCAAGUCAGAUGGGAAAACUAUGGGCUCAACCCAUAGCCUGCAUUUGAAACUGUACUUCUUGAGUGCUGGAGAGGCAAUCGGAAUUCCGGGUGUAGCGGUGAAAUGCGUAGAUAUACGGAGGAACACCAGUGGCGAAGGCGGAUUGCUGGACAGUAACUGACGCUGAGGCGCGAAAGCGUGGGGAGCAAACAGGAUUAGAUACCCGUGUAGUC